rnacentral:rRNA from 1 species
GAUGAACGCUAGCUACAGGCUUAACACAUGCAAGUCGAGGGGAAACGAUAGAGAAAGCUUGCUUUUUCUAGGCGUCGACCGGCGCACGGGUGAGUAACGCGUAUCCAACCUGCCCAUCACUUGGGGAUAACCUUGCGAAAGUAAGACUAAUACCCAAUGACGUCUCUAGAAGACAUCUGAAAGAGAUUAAAGAUUUAUCGGUGAUGGAUGGGGAUGCGUCUGAUUAGCUUGUUGGCGGGGUAACGGCCCACCAAGGCGACGAUCAGUAGGGGUUCUGAGAGGAAGGUCCCCCACAUUGGAACUGAGACACGGUCCAAACUCCUACGGGAGGCAGCAGUGAGGAAUAUUGGUCAAUGGGCGGAAGCCUGAACCAGCCAUGCCGCGUGAAGGACUAAGGCCCUACGGGUCGUAAACUUCUUUAGACGCAGAGCAAUAAGGUCCACGCGUGGACCGAUGAGAGUAUGCGUAGAAUAAGCAUCGGCUAACUCCGUGCCAGCAGCCG